CCCGACUGCUAUUUGGGUGAGAAUAAGCCAUGCGAGUUGAAUGGAAUACCUAAAUUUUCCAUAGCAAACUGCUCAAUAACACGUGAUCAACUUACCCUAUAGAGAAAAAUAACCUCGGGAAACUGAGGAUAAUAUUUCAUAGUUGAAAAGGCUUGGAAAAGUUUUUCAAUCAAAGGGAUAAGAAAAAUGGUUCUUAUCUGCUAUAGGAUAGGAUCGUGGUCGAUUAUGGUUGUUGGUGAGGCAAUGGCUCACCAAGCCGAUAAUCGAUAGGGGCCGUGAGAGCGGGAGCCCCGAGAUGGGUACUGAGACAACGACCCAGGUCUUACGAGACGCAGCAGGCGCGAAACCUCCGCAAUACACGAAAGUGUGACGGGGUUACCCAAAGUGUUCAAUUUUGAACUGUGGUAGGUGAGUAAUGUCCCCUACUAGAAAGGAGAGGGCAAGGCUGGUGCCAGCCGCCGCGGUAAAACCAGCUCUUCAAGUGGUCGGGAUAAUAUUGGGCUUAAAGUGUCCGUAGCCGGUUUAGUAAGUUCCUGGUAAAAUCGGGUAGCUUAACUAUCUGCAUGCUAGGAAUACUGCUAUACUAGAGGGCGGGAGAGGUCUGAGGUACUUCAGGGGUAGGGGUGAAAUCCUAUAAUCCUUGAAGGACCACCAGUGGCGAAGGCGUCAGACUGGAACGCGCCUGACAGUGAGGGACGAAAGCCAGGGGAGCGAACCGGAUUAGAUACCCGGGUAGUCCUGGCCGUAAACGAUGCACACUAGGUGUUGGUAUGGCUAUGAGCCAUAUCAGUGCCGAAGGGAAACCAUUAAGUGUGCCGCCUGGGAAGUACGGUCGCAAGGCUAAAACUUAAAGGAAUUGGCGGGGGGGCACCACAAGGGGUGAAGCCUGCGGUUCA
rnacentral:rRNA from 1 species